AACACAGGCGUAACCAAAUAGCAUAAGUUGUGCAAAAACCCUAGUAACUUUUCCAACAUUUUACAUCAAUCGAGUAUUCCUGUUCCGUGUUUGAGUUUUUUCUACAACCCCAAGUACUCGCAUCGCACAAAUCGGAAUUGGCAGAGCAAAAUAAUAAUUAAUAUUUAAAGUGCAUUAGAAUAAAACACAUUUUAUUCCCGACCACCGAAUGCCGGAAUCAGAGUCCAACCACCACCUACAGCAGAUGAGGAGCUCCAGCUUCCCCGUGAGACCCGCGUAGCACUGGCACAAUUACGUUCUGGAUAUUGGAGAGGUUAAACUCCUACUUAUCCAGAAUUGACCACGCCAUACCAAACAUAUGUCCGCCAUGUGAAGGCACCCCGCAGGGCACUAACCAUCUUUUCACAUGCCCCUUAAAACCCACUUAUCUAACACCCCUCUCCCUCUGGACCCAACCUGUCGAAACAGCAAGUUUCCUGGGCCUACCUUUAGAUGA